AUCGGCGACCACGCGAGGAUUCUGCGCAUGUUCAAGGCGAGGGGGUAGGAGUAGGAGUUUGCGCAUGAGCAGAAGUGUCGGGAAAGCUAGCGUAGUGGGGGUUAGGAGGCGGUAUUGACAGCUGUGGAAGCAGCCCGCGUUCCCGGCAUGCCCCGGGGCGGCGGGGUUGGCUCUAACGAAUUUGAAUGAGGAGCCUCAGCGCUUUCGGCGCCAUUUUCGAGUGAUGCCUGAUCUCAUCAAUCUAGCGGGAGAGACGGACUAACCUGUCCGAGACUACAGCGCCUUUAAGACUCGGCCGAAAAAUCACUAAAAAAAUCCCAAAAAUUUACUUAGAGCAAAGGGCACUUGGCGGAGCCUCGUCAGGGUUGGCGCAGCGGGUUUUGACCUUUAGGAGAGAGCCAGUUCUGGAGAACAAGCUAACCUCUUUGAUUGAACAUAUAAUGCAUUGGAACAUAAUAGGAGAUUAAGGUUAUUAACAAUAAAAUGAAGACCAUAAUAUAACAAGCCCCCUACUUAGCCCUGCAGUUCUUACCUUAUGUCGUUUGAGAGGUGUACUGCAAGGAGUUAAAUGCUGUUUGUAAAAUAAUGCUUUUACAAAGGUGCUCAUGUGUUUAAAAAAAACAAAACCUUGGAGUAAAGUAGCAGCACAUAAUGGUUUGUGGAUUUUGAAAAGGUGCAGGCCAUAUUGUGCUGCCUCAAAAAUACAAGGAUCUGAUCUUCUGAAGAAAAUAUAUUUCUUUUUAUUCAUAGCUUUUAUGAUAGCAAUGUCAGCAGUGCCUUAGCAGCACGUAAAUAUUGGUGUUAAGAUUCUAAAAUUAUCUCCAGUAUUAACUGUGCUGCUGAAGUAAGGUUGGCCAUACUCUACAGUCAUAUUUCAGCGUAUAUUAAUAUUACCAAUGUAUUUUCAGCUUUAUUGAUAAUUAAUUUUCAGUAUUAUAUUCUUGUUAUAUUUUAUAUGAUUGAAUAAAAAUAAGUUAGUACUAACUUUUAGAUGUGUAUUAAAAGUGUUUUGUAAUUUAAUAAUUGUGUUGAAUGCCAUCAAGAGUUUAUUGAAAGCUCAUACAGCAUCAAAUAAAUUUGUUUUAAUGUAUAUUUAUAUUCAGUUUAAAUAUUUUUAUAUUUAAAUAUUUUUACUUCAGAACAGAAAUACUACUUUUCCCUUUCUGUACUUAAAUUAAGACAUUUGCUUAUCUCACGGAUAAAUAUAUAUUGUAAAAUAUACAUUUUUGAACAGAACUUAGAGGAUAAUUUUUAGUAAUAAAUAUUCUGUUAUAAGGGAAAGGGGAAAGUAUCCAAAUAUGUGAAUUAAAUUCCUGAAAUCCUAUGUUUCAAAGAUGCACUUAAUCAUAACUUUAAAGGUAGGAAAGACCUUACAAAUGACCAGUAUAUUUGUUGGAUAGCUCAAGAAAUGGAAACUCAAGUAAUCUGCUACACUUGCAGAUUAAGAUAUUAAACCUGUGUCUUCUGACUUUAUACUGUCAUAUUGGUUUUUUCUUGUUUUUACUAAAAAAUUUUGUUUAUCCUUAGCCACAGAUUCUUGUUUGUAAGUAAAAUAAAAAACAUGAAGGCCUUGUUUGGCCUUUUUAAUAUCUAGUAUUUAACUUUAGCAUAAGACCUACAAAAAUUAUUAUAGUUACUAAUUUUAUAGAUGCAAACAAUCAAAAUUUUAAUUAAAAUUUGAAGGAAAAUGUUUUCUUUACCUUGUUCCUUAUUUGUUGAUGUUUAAUAAGUCAUUAAACUAAAAAUUGAUGUUCAGGAUAAGAAGAGUGUGUUUGUGUAGGUACCAUACUCCUGGUCUUAUUUUCUACAAGAAAUAUCUCACUCCUUUAAAUUGUAACCCAGCAGAAAAUCUAUAAAAUACAAGCAGUUCUUAGAAAAUCAUUUCAAUUUUAAUUGUCUAUUUUGGAAACCCUUAAAGUAUUUCAGAUGUAACUUAAGGAAUUGUGUUUGAGCAUCUUCUGUUUAAAUUACAAUUUCAAGGUAAAGAAAAUUACUUAUUAUAAGAGAGUUCUCAUUUUUAAGAAAAGUCUCACUGUUUCUCAGCAAAAUUUUCCCCCAGAAUAAAGAAGUAAUACACUAUAUUGGCUAGAAUCAAAUGCCAGCUUUUACAUGGAAGUAAUGCUGCCUUAGGGCUUUUAAAAAUCAUUCAUCAAGCUUUUAACCUGUUUCCUUUAUUUCAUCUCAGCCAUUUCAUGAAUGACUGUUACAAAUAUAUAAUUUUUGGUUCCAUUAAAAAUAUUUCAGGAACUAAUAUGUAGAUACUUAGAAAUAUUUAUUGAAUGAGUUUCAGAGUUGUUCUGUGUUUUACAGAACAACCCUGGAAUUAGAUUUCUAUUUUGAUUUUAUUUUCCUUAAUGUAUUUGAAGUCAGAGUUUAGAAAAUUGUAUUUUGUCUAAUCUGCCUUCUAAAUGCAUUUUACUUUUACUAAGUAAACCUUUAUAUCUAGGUGCUCAAGAUGUGAAAAAGGAUCAUUUGGGGCUAAAUAAAAACUUGAAUCCUGAGAAUGGAUUAAAGAAAAAAUUGAAAUAUUGGGAGAGUAAGAAAGUAUAGAAAAACUGUUGCAUUGAAAUUUAUUAUAGCAGUAUGCAGCUCCUUUCCAGUCUCUUAAUAGAGAACAGGAAAUAGCCUGUCGAUACCUAAUGAAACACUCAUUUAGGUAACUCAACAGGACUUAAAGUCUUAUUUAUAAGGGUUAAUAUACUUCCAUCUUUGUGUAAUUUUGAAAUACAAAGAGCAAAUGGUAAAAUGAAAGUUAUACCCUUUCAUGUUAGUCUUAAUAUGGCCAUUUAUUUUGCAGAGAAGAAAUAGUUAUAUAUGUGUGUAUAUUAAGAUUUCAUUUUUUCCGUCUUCUUUGGAAGAAAAUUCUAAUCUUUUUCAUUCAAGUUUAAGUUGAUGCCAAAUAAUUCCAGUAUUGAGCAUCUUAAAUCUGUUACUUGGAUUAUGGAUUGAGUUUGGGGCUAACUCAGAGGACUACAGGCAAGUAUUCAGGAGAUAGCCAGAGGGAUAUUUUAGUAGGUGAACAAUUCAUUUCACAUACUGUGUUCAAAUUCAGGUAUCUUAAGAUCACAUAUAUGUAACAUAGAAUUGAAAAUUUGAUCAUAGACUAAAUGUCAUAUUUAAAGAUUUUCUUCAAUUAGUCAUGUGUCCUUUUAAUUGUUAGAAUUAAAAGUGUUUUUAAACCACCAAGUAUCAUUAGUGGUAUCCUUGGUUAGUCAUAACUGGAUUAAAAGGAUUACACUUUAAUAAACUUUGACCUCUAAGUGUUUUUAUUUAUUUAGAAGUUGACAUUCUAAAUCAUUUUUUUUUCCUUUUGCAGGUGGAUAUUACUAGCCCUUAUUCAUGGAAAAAGUUUUAUGCUAAGUGUUGUUUCUCAUUGAGUAUUAGCAAAAAGGAGAAAAAUUAAUAUUCUAAUCUUUUGAGAUUAGAUUUGGCUCUAGUAAGUAAUAUUUAGACCAAUUAUUGGGUUGGCCAGAAAGUUCGUUUGGUUUUUUCUAUAAGCUGCUUCUAGUAGCACUUGUCUUUAAACUUCAUUUGAAACAACUUCCUUAGAUUGUAUUGUAUACAAUUGUCAUAUCAGAGUGCAUUUGAAAAGAAACAACGAAAAUUGGCACAUUUUUGUGUAGCUAUUUUAAUACUGAAGAUGGAAGAAAACAACAUUUUCAGCAUAUUGUGCUUAUUUCAAAAAAGGUAAAAAUGCAGCUGAAACACAAAGGUUUGUGCAGUGUGUGGAGAAAGUGCUGAGACUGAUUAAAUGUGUUAAAAGUUUGUGAAGUGUCAUGCUGUAGAUUUUCUCACUGGAUGAUGCUCCACGUUCAGGUAGACCAGUUAAAGUUGAUAGUGAUCAAAUUGUGAACAAUCAGUGUUCUACCAUGCAGGAGAUAGCCAACAUCCUGAAAAUAUCCAAAUCAAGCGUUGAAAAUCAUUAGCACCAGCUUGAUUAUGUUAAUCGUUUUGAUGUUUGAGUUCCACAUAAGUUGAGAGAAAAAUCUGCUUGACUGUAUUUCGACAUGUGCAAUUCUCUACUGAAACAUAACGAAAACUGUUUGUUUUUAAAACAAAUUGUGAUGAGUGAUUAAAAAGUGAAUACCAUACAAUAAUGUGGAAUGUAAGAGAUCAUGGGACAAGUGAAAUGAACCAUCACCAACCACACCAAAGGCCAGUCUUCAUCCAGAGGUGAUGUGUAUAUGGUGGGAUUGGAUAGGAGUCCUCUAUUACGAGCUCCUUCCAGAAAACCAAACAGUUAAUUCAAAGUACUGUUGCUAGUUAAACCAACCGAAAGCAGCACUCAACGAAAAAUGUCCAGAAUUAGUCAACAGAAAAUGCGUAAUUUUUCAUGAGGAUACUGCAAGACUGCAUGUUUCUUUGAUGACCAGGCAAAAACUGUUGCAAUUUGGCUGGAAGGUUUUGAUUUAUCUGCUGUAUUCACCAGACAUUGCACCUUUUUGUUUUCCAUUUAAAGUUUUUACAAAAUUCUCUUAAUAAAAUUUCAGUUCCCUGAAAGGCUAUGAAAGACACCUGGAACAGAUCUUUGCUGAAAAAGAUAAAAAAAAUUGGGGAAGAUGAAAUUAUGAAGUUGCCUGAAAAAUGGCAGAAGGUAGUGGAACAAAAUGAGGAAUACAUUGUUCAGUAAAGUUCUUGGAGAAAUGAAAGAUGAGUCGUUUUACUUUGAAACCGAAGGAACUUUUUUGGCCAACCCAAACACUUGCAUGUCUGGAAGACCAUCAUCAGUACAUUUCCAGCUAAACAUUUUUAUUUUCUUACCUCUUAUCAGGGAUUUCUUAUUUUUGUUUGAGCUCCUUUAAUGGAGAAUUAAUUUCUCCAGUAGAAUUUAAGAAUUUAUGUUCUUACCUGGCUUAUUUAUAAAAUGUAUCCCAGAGAUUUCUGAUAUCUUUUUUUUUUUUUUAGGCUAUUUGCAGUGAAAAAAAUGUUGGCAAAAUAAAUAAGUUUAAACUUGCUAUGUUAAAAUUACUGUGCAGUGUGAUAAAUUAGUUGAUGAGUUUUUGUUUGUAUUAUACUGAAACUAAAUUCAACAUUUAUAACUUCUAUAUGGGUCUGUUUCUUGAUUAUUAAUACAUGGGAUUCAUAUAAAAAUACAUGAAUAAUACAUUUAUAUUAGCAUAUUGAUGAGUAUAGGUUCCCCUUAAUUCUGUUUAACUUCAAUAAUCUGAUACUUACUAUAUUCUUAUUAUAAGACUAUAUUAUUACUUAAUAAGAAUUAUAUUACUAUAUUCUUAUGAUUACAUUCAUGUUUUGCAAAAAUGUAAACUGUCUAGAGAAUCUUGUUUAUGCUAUAGGAUUAGAUUUUGAGACACUAAAUGUUCUUCAAUUUAAUUAACUUGUUAUUAAAGUUAUUCUGUAUAUCAUUUUAUAGUUUAACCGCUUAGCAUUAAUUAAUCUUUAGGAAGUAGUAGAAAUUUUAAAAUCACUCCAAAGUUUUCUUAUUUCCACAUCUCAUUAUUUUAUAAUCUUUAGAAAUGCUUAUAUUUAUGAAAGUAAUAUUUUCAGAGAUAUUAAUUCUUACAGCACCACUAAAACUUUUUUUUUCCUUUGGACUUUAAUACAUAUGCUAGUAAACUAUGGGAUAUUUUUGUUUGUUUGUUUUCUUUUUUUUUUUUUUUUUUAAAGUUUCCAUGUGAUCACUUAAAUGCCAUUUUAGCGUGAAACAACAAAGCGUUGCCCCAUAGUUAGAAGUACAGAAAGUGUAGGUACAUCAUUUCUUAAGAUAAUUUGUAGAUUUUCACAUAGUCUAUGCAGAUUUUUAUAUUGUAUUUCCAUAAAUGUCUUUUCUGUCUUAUGUUUAACAAAGAGCAUUAAAUAGAUUUGAAGCAUUUAUAUAGAGAGGACUACAAAUUUUAUUACAGGCACUGAGGAUCAGCACUGAACAAAGCAGAUAAAUUCCAGCCCUUAUAGAGCUUACAAUUUUGGGAGUGAGGCAUGGGUGAUAGAAUACACAAAAAACUGAUAGGCGCUAAUAUGUGGUAUGUCAGGUGGUGGUAAGUUCUAUGAAGAAAAAUAAAGCAAGGGGAGUGGGAGGAAUGGGUUAAACAGGUUUGGAAGGCAGGCAGGCAGAUGUGUUUUUCAAUAGUGUGGUCAGAAAAUUCCUCACAAAGAUAACAUUUGAAUGAAGACCUAAAAACUAAAGGAGCAAACCUCUAGGUUUCUGGGAGAAGAGCCUUUCAAGCAGAUGAAAUAACACCUACAGAGACCUUGAGGCUGAAACGUUUUUGGUGCUUACUAAAAAGAGCAGCAAGAAGGUUUGGAUGGCUGUGAUCAACUAUACAAGAGAGAAUAAUAGCUCAUAAAUUAAAGUUUCUAGGAGCCAAAUUUUACGGCUGUUUAAGCUCUUAGCUUAACAUAUUUUCCUUCCUUCUUUAAAACUACCUUGAGGGUUAUGUGAGCCUCAGCCUAUUUGACCUUUGUAGAUAAGAGUAUUUUUUUUAAGAUCUGAUUCAGAACCUCCAUGUGAGACCAUUUAGAAUGUAAAAUGUUUAAAUGGUUGGUUAAUAGGUAUACGUGUGAUGAUAAGGUUUUUAUGAAUUGUGUUUUGAUGGCUCUGAAAUUGUUUUUACUCGCUCAGUUUAGCCUAGUCAAAGCUAGCUAAAUGAGUAAAUGACAUAUUUGUAAUUUACUCAAACGAACCAAAAUUGAUUCCUCCAUUCUAGUAAUUGCCACCAUUUUUCUCACUUAUUCCAACUCUGUUAGCAUUUUAGCUAAGGACUUAACUUGCCUGAAAGUGUUCAUCCCCUAUGGUAUGUCCAACUAAUUUAAUCUUCCUAAUGCACAGCUUUUGCAUAUAUGAUAAAAUUCAGACUUAUUGUACCUCAUGAUCUUGCCCUAACCUUGAAGUUUUUCCAUUUUUUUCAAGCAAACUAGUCCUGCUCCAUCUGUUUUUCUGUCUCUAAUUUCAGUGCCCUUAUUUAUGCUGUUUCACCACCCCAAUUCUUCCCCAAUUUAUUCCUGUACAGUUUUUAAAUGCACUAUGUUGAAUGUUCCAUGAGUUUAAUAGUUUGGCAUUAUCCCUCCUUCCCAUGUUACAAAAAAUUUAUCCCUGUAGCUCUUAACCUUUUUCUCUCACUUAACAAAGAAAUACAGCAUUUCUAUCAUUAAUUUCACCUCAUUUAUUCAUGUAUAUAUAUCUUUUAUAAACGUAUUGACAAUAUGAAGAAAAAUAUUUAAACUUAAGAAACAAAAUGAAAAAAAUUUAAACUUGAGAAACAAAACAAAAAGCAGGUAGACUAAGACAUCCAGAAUUUCAGAACACCCAAAGUUCAAAUAUGAAUUUUAUGCUGACAAAUGAUACAGCUGAUUUUUUUCUCAGUUAUAUGAAAACAUAUAUACCACAUACAGUGUGGACUAGUCAUAUUUCUAGGAUUUUAGCACACUAAAAGGAUUAAUUCUUAAAAGUAUGGAUUCUCUAUUUCACUUUGCUAAUAUGGUAAGCGCUGUUGAUAGAGCGAUUUAAGAAGUCCAUGUGUUUAUGUAGUAUUGUUUAUAAUAUUAGAGGAUUGGAAGAGUUUUUAAAGUGUCCAGUAAUAAACUGAUUAAUAUGCUGAGUGGAAUACUGUGCAGCUAUUUAAAAUAAUGUAAUGAGUAUUUAAUGAGCUAGAAACUUCCUCGUUAUGUGAAAAACGUUACCACAUAGUAUGAAUCAUUAGAAGAAUACAUAUGCUAAAACGUUACUACUGGUGUAUUAUGGUGUGAGGUAAAUCUUAUUUUUUUAUAUUAUAAAUAAACAUGUAUGAUUUGGGGAGUGGUGUUGGGAAAAGAUUCUUGAAAAAUCAAAAUACUUGAAGCAGCCUUACCACUUAAUCAUCUGCUUUGGAAGUCCAUAAAUGGAAAACCUAAGUUCUUAUGGGUUCAGGAACUUGAGAAGUGAAAAUGAAGAAUUAACUAUUUGGGGAAGAACUACAGGUAAUUUCAAAAAUCAAAUAAGUUUUAAAUCUGCCUCGGGGGAGCAGUCUACUCUGUUUCUUGAAAAGCUUUGCUGUCAUUUCUCCAGUCUUCCAGCCCCCAAAACCUGAAAAGGUAAGUAUAAGAAAAGGAGUGGCUGUCUAUUUUAAUUUUGGAACUAUAUUAAUAAACUAAAGAAAAACAAAUCUGGUUUAUAGAGAUUUAAUAGCACAGCGAAACUGACUUUCUGAUCUUAAAAGGAUUUUCUUUUUUAAAAAGUUUUUAGCUUUUUCCCACCAUAGAACUAAUGUAUAGGCAUAGAAACCUCAAAAAAGGCAAAAAAUUCUGUUUAAAAAGUAUAUUUCUAUCAUCCAGUGAGAAUUACUAUUAUUAACAGUAUGUUAUUUCCUUCUAAAUGUAUAGUUGGAUUAGCAAAUUUAUUUCCUAAUUUGUAACUAUGCCAGGAGCUGGAAAGAACAUCACCCUCUAGAAGAGAGACGAGAUAUGCUGCUGGCUCAGAAGGUUUUUCUUGACGUUUAUCUAAAAUACAGUUGACCCCCAAACAAUGUGGGUUUGAACUAUGGGAGUCUUUAUUUUUCUCAAUAAAUACAUGCUAUAGUAUUACACGAUCUACAGUUGUUUGAAUCUGAGGAUGCAGAACCGUGGG